GAUGAACGCUAGCGACAGGCUUAACACAUGCAAGUCGAGGGGUAGCAGGGUGGCAAUACCGCUGACGACCGGCGCACGGGUGAGUAACACGUAUCCAACCUUCCCAUAACUCGGGGAUAGCCUUUCGAAAGAAAGAUUAAUACCCGAUAGUACUUUUUCAAGGCAUCUUGAGAAAGUUAAAGAUUUAUUGGUUAUGGAUGGGGAUGCGUUCCAUUAGAUAGUUGGUGAGGUAACGGCUCACCAAGUCUUCGAUGGAUAGGGGUUCUGAGAGGAAGGUCCCCCACAUUGGUACUGAGACACGGACCAAACUCCUACGGGAGGCAGCAGUGAGGAAUAUUGGUCAAUGGGCGAGAGCCUGAACCAGCCAAGUAGCGUGAAGGAUGAAGGUCCUAUGGAUUGUAAACUUCUUUUAUAGUAGAAUAAAGUGAUCCACGUGUGGAUUUUUGUAUGUAUACUAUGAAUAAGGAUCGGCUAACUCCGUGCCAGCCGCCGCCGUAAUAC
rnacentral:rRNA from 1 species